AACGAACGCUGGCGGCAUGCCUAACACAUGCAAGUCGAACGAGAUCUUCGGGUCUAGUGGCGCACGGGUGCGUAACGCGUGGGAAUCUGCCCUUUGGUUCGGAAUAACAGUUGGAAACGACUGCUAUAUCGGAUGAUGACGAAAGUCCAAAGAUUUAUCGCCAGAGGAUGAGCCCGCGUAGGAUUAGCUAGUUGGUGUGGUAAAGGCGCACCAAGGCGACGAUCCUUAGCUGGUCUGAGAGGAUGAUCAGCCACACUGGGACUGAGACACGGCCCAGACUCCUACGGGAGGCAGCAGUGGGGAAUAUUGGACAAUGGGCGAAAGCCUGAUCCAGCAAUGCCGCGUGAGUGAUGAAGGCCUUAGGGUUGUAAAGCUCUUUUACCCGGGAUGAUAAUGACAGUACCGGGAGAAUAAGCUCCGGCUAACUCCGUGCCAGCCGCCGCUGUAA
rnacentral:rRNA from 1 species